rnacentral:rRNA from 1 species
GGAAGGGAUGUAUUUAUUAGAUUAAAAACCAAUGCCCUCUGGGCUCUUUGGUGAUUCAUGAUAACUUCUCGAAUCGCACGGCCUUGCGCCGGCGAUGGUUCAUUCAAAUUUCUUCCCUAUCAACUUUCGAUGUUUGGGUAUUGGCCAAACAUGGUUGCAACGGGUAACGGAGGGUUAGGGCUCGACCCCGGAGAAGGAGCCUGAGAAACGGCUACUACAUCCAAGGAAGGCAGCAGGCGCGCAGAUUACCCAAUCCCGACACGGGGAGGUAGUGACAAUAAAUACUGAUACAGGGCUCUUUUGGGUCUUGUAAUUGGAAUGAGUACAAUUUAAAUCCCUUAACGAGGAACAAUUGGAGGGCAAGUCUGGUGCCAGCAGCCGCGGUAAUUCCAGCUCCAAUAGCGUAUAUUAAAGUUGUUGUGGUUAAAAAGCUCGUAGUUGAACCUUGGGCCUGGCUGGCCGGUCCGCCUCACCGCGUGUACUGGUCCGGCCGGGCCUUUCCCUCUGUGGAACCUCAUGCCCUUCACUGGGUGUGACGGGGAACCAGGACUUUUAC